AACUUGAGAGAGGAACUCGGGGGUAGAGUGUUGGCCUGUCGCGCCAAAAGUUGCGGGUUCGAGUCCCGUCUCUCUCGU
rnacentral:tRNA from 1 species